GACGAACGCUGGCGGCGUGCCUAAUACAUGCAAGUCGAACGCAGUGGGGACGGGUUCGUAACACUUGGGUAAACUCCCAUCAGAGGGGAUAACACUUGGCAACAAGUGCUAAACCGAUACUGAUGGAUGGACCAGCGGGGCAUUAGCUAGUUGGUGAGGGAACGGCUCACCAAGGCCACGAUGCAUAGCCGACCUGAGAGGGUGAUCGGCCACACUGGGACUGAGACACGGCCCAGACUCCUACGGGAGGCAGCAGUAGGGAAUCUUCGGCAAUGGACGAAAGUCUGACCGAGCAACGCCGCGUGAGUGAAGAAGGUUUUCGGAUCGUAAAACUCUGUUGUUAGAGAAGCGGUAUCUAACCAGAAAGCCACGGCUAACUACGUGCCAGCAGCCGCGGUAAUAC
rnacentral:rRNA from 1 species